rnacentral:rRNA from 1 species
UACGUAGGGACCGAGCGUUGUCCGGAAUCAUUGGGCGUAAAGCGUCUGUAGGUGGUUUAAUAAGUCAACUGUUAAAUCUUGAGGCUCAACCUCAAAAUCGCAGUCGAAACUAUUAGGCUAGAGUAUAGUAGGGGUAAAGGGAAUUUCCAGUGGAGCGGUGAAAUGCGUAGAGAUUGGAAAGAACACCGAUGGCGAAGGCACUUUACUGGGCUAUUACUAACACUCAGAGACGAAAGCUAGGGUAGCAAAUGGG